GCCGGGAUUCCCGAGCCUGGUACGGGGCAGACCCCAACUCAAGGAGCCCAAGCCUGGAAUCGGGGACACAAAGCCUGUGGUCCUUUGGGGCCGCGAGGGUUCAAAUCCCUCUCCCGGCGCCA
rnacentral:tRNA from 1 species